ACUAUAAGUAAUGCAAAAUAUAUAUAUUUUUUUAACUAAUACUGCUUAAAUUCGUGCAGUUUUUUUUCCUUAAGUACUCAUUAUGCUUGUGUGAAAAGUUUGUUUUCCAUACAGCCAAGGUGUACUUUAGAUGGACAAGAAGCACGUUGUUUAAGGUGCCGCAGUCAAAUAAAAUAUGUGCUUCCUCUAAAUAAACACAGAGUGAUACUAUAUGGUCACGAUGAAAAAAGUAAAAUUAUUUCAAUAUCUGGAUGUUAUUGGGCAUUAAAGCAAUUUGACAUACAGUAUUGGAUAAAGAUAGUCCAUUUUGAACUAUUUUUCUUAUCAACAAAAACAGCUACACUAUUCAAAAUUGUUUAUAUAUUAUUAAAACAAUCAACCAAUCAAUAUGUGUUGAUCUAAAUAACAUUACACGUGAGGACAUACAGACUCUUGAAAGGGAAUACCCAAAUAUUCAUAAUUUCACUCUUCAACAACAUCCUUAUUAUAUAAAAUCAAAAAAUGAGGUAUUGUAUUGUCCAAUACCUUACAACCACGCAGUAGAUGAUGAAGAUAUUCCUUAUGAAGAAGAUAUAGAAAUAGUAAAUAAAAGAUUGACAGAUGUGAUUAAAAGAUGUAUGCGCAAAAAAAAAUUUAAAUUGGUUUAUUCGAUUUUUUUGAACGCUAUAGAAAGUAUGGGCAUUACAUACAUUUAUCUGUUCUGCGAAUUUGCAAUAGAAAUGAAU